rnacentral:lncRNA from 1 species
AAAUUUGGAGAAGGAGAAGGAUCAUUGUAUUCAAUGGGGUUAGGAACCAACCUGCAUAAUGAAAUGAUAUUUUGAUUUUAGAGAAGCGAAUUUGUGACCAAAUAUUAUGCAGAUAGACAAUUAUAUUGUUUAUUUAUGUUUUUUUGUGAUUACCAUUUUCAGAAUAAAGCAAAAAGUAAAAACAAAACAUCAUAGAUGUGGAUGAAUAGAAUUAAUUUUUUUGAUGAUCAAAUUUUAAAAUUCCCAAC